CAAAAUAAAAGCAGAAGCCCCGCUGUUUAGAGAGUCCAGGCAACCACCAGUCCAUCUGCCUCAACAACCAGGCCACUCAAAAGCCUCAUUUCAAGGGCAAAACAUCAGAAAGGAGGAGCAAUGCAAAAGGCAAAAAGGCUGACACAGAGCAUCCAAGGUCUCACAAGAACAAAAUUGAGAAACAGAUUCACUCCCCUAAACUACCUAUGAGAAACAAUGGUCACUUUGGGAAAGAGGAAAGAGUUCCAGCUGCUGCAUUCCCAGAUUUUCUGCAAUGAGAAUACAACUUCUUUGAAAUUUUAAGUUUUUAAAGAAGAUCAUCCACAGUAACCCAUCUUAGCAAAAACCUCACCAGUCAUGCACAAAUUGAGUAAAUCAGAAGCAAUACUGUGUUCAAACUUGACUGAGUUUGAGUAAAUUUGUUAAUUCUUCUGAGCCACAUACUAGCUCUCCAUUGAUGACUCAAGUUCUGGGAAAUAAAGAAGACCCUCAAUAUUAUGCAACCCUUCAAACUUGACAGUGGAAAACAGCCACCUGGUACUUUUAGUUCAUUUGAGACUGAGGGAGACCCUCUGUCUACUCUGUUUUGACCCUGCCUGCAG
rnacentral:lncRNA from 1 species